AUGCAUCUACUUUUUUUUUUCCCUCUUAUUAUUCCUUCGAUUCUCUUUCCAUUUCAAUUUCCACUACCGACGGCUUCUCUUCCAUCUACAAUUAUUGAAAAAUGGUUUCUCCUCCAUCUCCGUAAAUUGUCCCUCUCUCUGUUCUUCCAUCUCCAGUUUACAAUAACCGUUUCUCACCAAUUCCAAAAUGCUUCAUCUUUUUCUUCUUCUUUUUACCUCUUCUUCUUCUUCAUUCUUCCUUUUUUUCGUAUUGAAACCAAAUCAAAAUUUAUGAUUUCAAAAUUAAAUCUGGAUCUACUAUCAACAAUCUCGCUAACGGAGCCCUAA